CAGCCCGCGACUAAGCGUACACGGUGGAUGCCCUGGCAGUCAGAGGCGAUGAAGGACGUGCUAAUCUGCGAAAAGCGCCGGCGAGGUGAUAUGAACCCUUGACCCGGCGAUGUCCGAAUGGGGAAACCCAGUGUGUUCCGACACACUAUCGUUAACUGAAUACAUAGGUUAACGAGGCGAACCGGGGGAACUGAAACAUCUAAGUACCCCGAGGAAAAGAAAUCAACCGAGAUUCCCCCAGUAGCGGCGAGCGAACGGGGAGCAGCCC
rnacentral:rRNA from 1 species